rnacentral:rRNA from 1 species
GACGAACGCUGGCGGCGUGCUUAACACAUGCAAGUCGAACGGAAAGGCCCUGCUUUUGUGGGGUGCUCGAGUGGCGAACGGGUGAGUAACACGUGAGUAACCUGCCCUUGACUUUGGGAUAACUUCAGGAAACUGGGGCUACUACCGGAUAGGAGCUCCUGCUGCAUGGUGGGGGUUGGAAAGUUUCGGCGGUUGGGGAUGGACUCGCGGCUAAUCAGCUUGUUGGUGGGGUAGUGGCUUACCAAGGCUUUGACGGGUAGCCGGCCUGAGAGGGUGACCGGCCACAUUGGGACUGCGAUACGGCCCAGACUCCUACGGGAGGCAGCAGUGGGGAAUAUUGCACAAUGGGCGGAAGCCUGAUGCAGCAACGCCGCGUGCGGGAUGACGGCCUUCGGGUUGUAAACCGCUUUCGCCUGUGACGAAGCGUGAGUGACGGUAAUGGGUAAAGAAGCACCGGCUAACUACGUG